GUAAAAGAGGCAAAAGGUUUUGACUUUGCAAAAUGAGCAUGGUUAAGCUUUUCGAAAAACAUUUAUUAGUUUGGAUUGGUAGUUGUGUCAUGGAAAUUGAAAUGCCAACUAAUUUUGGAAGGAGUUUCAAAGGGUGGGCUAUACAUAUAGUGUUUAUUUUGUCUCUAUAUUGAAUAAAAAAGGGGGAAUUUAGCCCAAUACCCACAAAAAACAAUAGAGGGCUAAUGAUAUUUACCCCUUCUUCGUCAAGUUUUUUUUAUCUACCCCUUGCUUCCUAUUUUGCCCCUACUAAAACAAAAAAUUACUUUACUUUUCCUUUUCUCAUUCUUAAAGCCAAUAAUUCCGGGUUCCUGCACCUCUGCUUCCUUUCUUUCUUCUUGCCUGAGAAAACCCACAAAUAAUCCCAUUAAAAAUCCUGCUCGACCUCUUUUUUCCUUUCCCCCAUGAAAAAUCAAAUUUACACCUUUUUGAUUUUUUCUAUGUGAAUUCUUAGCUAAUAUUGCUGUAUCGGUGGCCUUGAUAUGUAAUUGGUGCUCUGUAGGGUAAUUUGCAAGUUGCAAAUUUAUAUGCUGGUACCGACAGUGUAGAGCUCAAAGGCAUGAAAUAAUUGCUGAAUUGAAUUAUUUCUUAAGGCAUUGUAUCUGCAAGUUGCAAGUGUAUAUUCUUUUCUCAAAGAAGCCGUUCCUGGCGUUUUUAGAAUCCACCGGCUACUCUCAAGAAGAUGUGCUCCUUCAGAAGCCCAAAGCUGGGGUAUGUAUAGCUUCAAAUCAUUCUUAAUCAGAAUGCUUAAAUCACCCUUGAAUCAGGCUUUCUGAUCUAGAUUCAGAUGUGGGUUAAUAUCAGUUACUGAGUAGUAUAAUGCUUGCAGCUCCUGAAGCCUACUUUCACAAUUAUAUGUGAUAAAGAUUCAAAAUGCUUCCUUUGAUAAAGAUUCAAAAUACUUCCUUUUAUUGAUUCGUGGAACCCAUAGUAUCAAAGAUACACUAACAGCAGCUAGUGGUGUAGUGGUACCUUUCCUCUCUUUUAUUUUGCAUGAUGGUGGGAUAAGCAAUUUGGUUCUGGUUUUUGCAUAUUGUGGGAUGGUUGUUGCUGCUCGUUGGAUUGCUAAGCUCAACACUUCAUCCUUGCUUAAGGCUCUCAAUGACUAUCCUGCCUACAAAGUUAAGGCUUCUAGGAUCACUUAGUGUACAAAGGACACCAAAUAUUCUUGUACAAAAGAGAACAAAUAUCUGCUACAGAUUUGUGGGGUGCAUUUCAAGGCCAAGGAUAUGGAGAAUUUAAUGACAUUAGAUCCAUUACUAUUAUGGUCGAUUAUAUUGUUCCUGCAGUUCUUCAACAACUUGCAUACACACAAUGACAAGGUUAUUUUGCAAUUUGUGCUGAGAAUAAUGUAAGACUUAUUUUGUUUAAUUCUAAUGCUCAGAAGUAUAUCUAUUAACUAAUUUUUCAGAAGACAUUUCCUUAAUCAAGACCACAGGGGAUAUAAUUCUGCAUUAGAGAGAAAGGCCAUUUUGCUUGUGCUAUUGGAGAAGUUGAUUCCUAGCUAGCUUUACAACUAAACCAACUUUGUUCAUAAAUGAUAUUCUCAGUUUGGCUUUUGCAACUGUAAAUUCUAGCAAAGUAAUACAAUGCCACGACUUCUAAAUGGGUGGCUUCUGCUUCUUGAUUACCAUCUGGCAAAACAACAAAGGACUACUCCAAUAUGAGAAUGAUUAAAUCCAUGUUCUGCACAUCAUAUUUUUUGGGUUUGUUUUUAAAAAUGAGGUGUCAAUAUUAAUACAAAGUCUUAAAAAGCGUUGCUAUGUUUGGAAUAAGUCCGACCAAAAUCUAAAAUCUAUUGAAGUAGGUGAGACAAGAGUAGAAGAUGAUGAACAUAAUCCACAUUGAAUGACCAGAAAAGGGCAUUAUCGUUGCAGAGAACAUAGUGAAGGAAUGCAGGGCAAUGAUUUAAAGAUGCAUGGACAGCAUAUUGAUUACCCUCUCUUGUCUCCACUUCUCUACACAUUUUGUAGAAUUCUGAAUGUGUCUUAUUCAAAGUGUUUGAAGCAACUUUAUUUCGUUUUUUCUAACUUCUAUUCUUUAGUGACAUUCUAAUACUUGUUUCUGAAGAGGAAAUUCAUCCAUUUUAUCUCUUUCUUUUAUAGUCACUUGUAUGAGGAUACAAGUAUAAAAUUUGUGAUUACUGCAUGCUAAGCCAAUAGAAGAAAAUCGCCAUUUACAGUAAGAA